AUCUAUACUGUGAAACUGCGAAUGGCUCAUUAAAUCAGUUAUCGUUUAUUUGAUAGUACCUUACUACUUGGAUAACCGUGGUAAUUCUAGAGCUAAUACAUGCUAAAAACCUCGACUUCGGAAGGGGUGUAUUUAUUAGAUAAAAAACCAAUGCCCUUCGGGGCUCCUUGGUGAUUCAUGAUAACUUAACGAAUCGCAUGGCCUUGCGCCGGCGAUGGUUCAUUCAAAUUUCUGCCCUAUCAACUUUCGAUGGUAGGAUAGUGGCCUACCAUGGUAGCAACGGGUAACGGGGAAUUAGGGUUCUAUUCCGGAGAGGGAGCCUGAGAAACGGCUACCACAUCCAAGGAAGGCAGCAGGCGCGCAAAUUACCCAAUCCCGACACGGGGAGGUAGUGACAAUAAAUACUGAUACAGGGCUCUUUCGAGUCUUGUAAUUGGAAUGAGUACAAUUUAAAUACCUUAACGAGGAACAAUUGGAGGGCAAGUCUGGUGCCAGCAGCCGCGGUAAUUCCAGCUCCAAUAGCGUAUAUUAAAGUUGUUGCAGUUAAAAAGCUCGUAGUUGAACCUUGGGCCUGGCUGGCCGGUCCGCCUCACCGCGUGUACUGGUCCGGCCGGGCCUUUCCUUCUGGGGAUCCGCAUGCCCUUCACUGGGUGUGUCGGGGAACCAGGACUUUUACUUUGAAAAAAUUAGAGUGUUCAAAGCAGGCCUUUGCUCGAAUACAUUAGCAUGGAAUAAUAGAAUAGGACGUGCGGUCCUAUUUUGUUGGUUUCUAGGACCGCCGUAAUGAUUAAUAGGGAUAGUCGGGGGCAUCAGUAUUCAAUUGUCAGAGGUGAAAUUCUUGGAUUUAUUGAAGACUAACUACUGCGAAAGCAUUUGCCAAGGAUGUUUUCAUUAAUCAGUGAACGAAAGUUAGGGGAUCGAAGACGAUCAGAUACCGUCGUAGUCUUAACCGUAAACUAUGCCGACUAGGGAUCGGGCGAUGUUAUUAUUUUGACUCGCUCGGCACCUUACGAGAAAUCAAAGUCU
rnacentral:rRNA from 2 species